ACAUGCCAACAAAAUAGUGUUAAUGCACCAGAUCCCAUUAGAACUCCACAGUUAAGCAUGCUCAGGCUAGAGUAGUACUGGGAUGGGUGAUCUCCUGGGAAGUCCUAAUGUUUUACAUGCC
rnacentral:rRNA from 1 species